GUCUAGGACCCUAUAACCCUUAACACACCCAAUCUCCUCUGAUCUCAGAAGCUAAGCAGGGUAGGGCCUGGUUAGUACUUGGAUGGUAAAAUGGAAAGUGAUAAAGGGGCUGUAGGAA
rnacentral:rRNA from 1 species